UGCUGGUGCAUUUGAUUCACAACCAUGCAAGAGAACACAGAGACUGGACUUUAUCUCAUUUGCAAAAGAGUAAAUGAGGAACAACAUGCAAAACUGACUAGUGACAAGACUGAAUGAAAACUUUAGCAGCUGCAAUUCCUACAAGUUGUGUUACUUUCUGGGCUGUCUUAUUGCAGUUCCAGGGUUAAAUGAGUCAAAACAGGAAUCAAAGGGCUUCAGUGUUUUCCUAUCCAGAAAAGCAAAUGUGUUUCCAGCUCCCUCUUUUCUCUCCUUCACUCUGCACCCAGUGAGUUCCCAUAAUCUGCCAGUUUGGGCCCCAGAGCCACAGAGCCCUGUCACCCUGCUCAGCAGCUGCUGCUGUUGCCUGCUGAUGCUGCUUUGCAGCAGACCAGGCUGAGGCACGGGCAUGGCAGCUGUAAACCCUUCACCUGUACCUUUUGUCAGGCUGUGACGUUUCAACCAACCCCAUCGCAUUAUGGUUUAAGAUUGUAUCCCCCAAAGAUUUUCUUCUCUUGCAGUAUUUUGCAUGGGGUUGGCAGUGCAUUAUCAGGGAUGUAGUUUUUCUGAUCCUUCCUUUCCUCUGUCACAUCAUCAGGGCUAUGGGAAAUCCCCAGAGCUGGUACUUCCCUCUCAGCUGGAAGAGGCAGCAGCCAGGGCUGAAGUGGGCAUUGGGCAGGCCAUUUCUCAGAGCCCUGUCCACUUUUGUCUCUUGGCUGGGCUUAAAUGAGGCUUUUCCAAUAAGUGUCCAGCUCGGCUCAGGCUGAGGCUGCUAAUUCCAACCGUGUGGGUGAUUCAUAUGCCAUCUAAUAAUAGCAGCUUCUGGCCAUGCCAGCACAAUAGCUGACCAUGGAAAACUCCACACAGCCUUGGGCUGCCAGCCCAUCGGCCUUCCCAAGCCGAGCUGGCCACGGCUGGUGGUUUGUCUUUGAGGGCAGCACUGUGCAGCUCAGCAAGAGGCUGCAAACUGGGCUGUGAGCUCAGCAAGAGGCUGCAGACUGUGCUGUGGGCAGUGCUGUGGGCAGCGCUGUCCUCCAGCCCUGGGCCCUCUGUCCCAGUGCCAGGGCCACCACCGGGCUAGCUCAGGAGCUGUGCAAAAUGGACUGCUCCUCCUGCUGCUUUAUAUAAAGCAGUUGCUAUUAAUUACCUGCACCAGAAGCCAGCUUAGGUAGUUUGCUUUCAAGGGCAAAGCUCUGUUUGUCCUUACUUGCCAUCCAAAUGCUGUUUAGAGCAUAUGCAAAAAUCUGCUCUGUGGCUGCCAAAUUCAUCUUGGCUGCAGAGUCAAUGCUGUUCCUGCUACUGAAAGGCAGCAGGGGCUUUGAUUGGGAUGCCUCAUUCACUUGUUUGGAUGCUUCCAGGAAGGAAGGGUGAUGACAGGGCAAAAUGACACACAUGUUCCCCAGACAGACUUCUGCAUCACCUUUUUCCAUGCUCCAGUGGGAUUUACUCUGCCCGGUGUUUGACCAUUUAAAAAUGAAGGCAGGAAAGUGGUGGUGGAGGCUGGAGAGGUCUCAGUCCUAGGAACAUGAGGCUGAAGCCUUGACAGGUGAUGGCUCUCUGUCUUGGCUGCAGACCAAAGGCAGAGCAGGGUGGGGGCAAGAAGCUCAUGGCUACCCUGAAUUACAGCCCCAGUCAGUCAAUUAAGGAUCUCCCUUCACAGGGGACAGUGGUCCCAGCAGAGCCCAUGGAUGGGAGCAGCAUGCCCACAGUGGGAUGUCUGUGGCAGCCAGGCUGGCACUGCAGGCUGGCCACAGAGCAGGCCAGCAUCCUGAUUCCCACAGCAUGGCAGCACUGGGCAGCCUUGGGAGCUCGGGCACAACGAUGGUUCUUGCCCCACUGCUUCCAGCCCUGUGAGCUGUGGCCAAGCUGUGGAAACAGUGCGCAUCCAGGGCAGACAGGGUGACUGCUGAAUCCUCAGAGGUGAGCUCAAAUGCUGGAAGGGGAUUAUUAGAAGCUAGAAGGCCAAAGUGUGAUGGAGCCAAGGAGGUGUGUGAGACUGAGCAAGAUGUGACAGCACAGUGAGCAGUACUUCAGCACAAACCAGGCACCCAGCCCCACUGGGUGGAAGGACAGGGGCAAAGCAAACCCCUCCCCUCCUGCUCUUAAACCCUGUCGCUGCUUCCCACACAGGGGUCCUGCACCCCAGAACUUCAGAACUGGCAGCUGGCUGGGCGGGCCAAGCUGUGAGGCCAUUGCUCCUUGGACACCAUCACUGCCAUGGCCCUGGCUCCCACAGCUGUCCCGGAGGGCCCCAACUUCCCAGCAGUCAUGGGGCUGUGCUCUCACACCACCCACACAGCAGCUGGGGGAUUUUCCUGGUAAGCAAUUGGCUCAUUGUUUCACUUUUGCCAUUUGCUUGCCUUUCAGGAAGGUUUUGCUUUUAUUCCUCCCCUGACCUAAGCUGGAGUUGGGGUUUUCCAGACCUGGGGUUAGGGUGGUACAGGUCAGCUCCCUGUCCCAGCUGUGCUACCUGGGGAAGGACCUGGAAGCCAGGCACCCAGGUUCACUUUACUUGUACCAGGGGUGAUGAAGCAGUGAUGGUGCUCAACUCCUGAGGGCUUCAGAUGUGUUUUUUGGAGACCUCCUGUAUUGCAAGAAACAUGGUAUGAUCCCUGGAGCCAGCUCUGAGAUAGUCAUAUGUGGCCACAGUUUUCAAGGACACCCCCAGUUUUAAACUGAGCUGGCUCCAUUUUUGCAGAGUAGUGUCUCUAAAAUUACUAAAUUCUGUCUGUUUCCUUUGUUUUUCUUCCUGUAAAUCUGAUGUUUUCAUUGCAGUAGACCAGCACUUAUCAGCUCAAAGACUGACCAAAUACUUAUGCUCAGCAAACGCAGUGCUGAUUUGCAGCAGCAAAUCUAAGCAAUGCCACUGUCUAGGGUACACUGGGAACAACAUCUGGGGUUUUGAGGCUCUCCAUAUUCAAGUUUAGCACAAGGCCAGCCAAGCAUGGGAUGGCUUAAGUUAGGACAACAUUGUCAUAAAACUCAUCAUCUGUGUAGGAUAGGGGAAGAGAAAGCCUGACAGUCUGCAGCCUGUUCUCUUGAAGGAAAAUACUUUAUUUGAGAACAUGCACAAAGAGAGGAGGAUCCAGUUCACCAGGCUCAUAUUUAACUGGGUAGAUCAAAGCCUGCACUAUUUGCUUCAGGACUGUUGAUUUUGGUUUUGACCAGCUCCUCCUCCACAAUAAAAAGUCCAAGGGGAUUUUGUAUUCUCCUGGGCUUUCUGCUGAAUGGGGUUCUUUGCACCAGAGCUUCCAAGCAAAGCUUGGCACACAAGCCUCUGAAACUAUGGGAGCUGCAAAAGGCAGAGCUGACCCUGCAGCAGGCGACCUCAGCCCACAGCCCUGUUCCAAACAGAAAGCCAGGCCCUGGUUUUAGCAUCAGCAGAGAUGGGGGCAAGAGGAUUCCGUAUUACAUUUUGCUGGCUGAUGCUCCAGCUCUCCUUUUCUCUGCUAAUGCUCCGGCUAAACUGGAGCCCGGCACUUUCCGGCUGCCCGUGCCAAGCAGAGCUCAGGUGAAGAGCAAUUGAAACCCAAGACUGCAACCUAAGAUGUCUCAGGGUACAAGGGUAAGCAAGAAGUGCUACAGUGGUUCAAGACUGCACUCCACAGAGCUAAGAAAGGCAUUGCUGCCUCCCUGACUGUGUGGCUAAGCCUCUACACAGCUUCAAGCAUUUGCUGUAAUUGGGAGAAAACAGCAGCAAUCUCCAAGAGACCAGCCAAGAAGAGAAAAAAAUAGCAUGCAGUAUUUUUGGUUUUCCCCUAUGCUACAGACCAGCCUUGAGAGGAGGAGGAAAAGGCAGGGGGUGGCAUCCAUAGCAAGGGAAGGACUGGACACAGGGCAGGUGUGGGAGCUGAUGGGCAAGGUGCCACUGGGAUUGCUCACGCAGUGCCAGCCUGCAGUGAGGUCACAUGCUGGGCCUGGACUGGGACUCUGCACUGCCAACUUCAAAGUGACAUGAAUUCCCUUAACUCCCUACAACAACAACAACUAAAAUAACCAAACAAAAAACCAACCAACCACCCAAACAAACAAACAAACAAAACAAAAACCAAAACAAGCGUGGCAUGGUGUGUCCUAUGGCGUCCAAAGGAGAGCUCUUGUCAGCUGGAUCAGCCCUUUCCUACUCCAAAAGUGAUGUGAAGAGGAGACAGCAGCCUUGGAGCACAAACCACCCUGCUCCUCCCUGGAUGGCUGCAAAAGGCAGCUUGAUGUGCUCCUGCUGGAAGGGAACAAAGCCCAGUGCCCACACGUGCUGCAGCAGACUUUGCCACUGAUGGCAGCCCUUCGCUUCUGCUGCUCCAGCCACGAGCCUCUGGGGCAGCCAUGGGCACGGGGCUUUACCACUGAGCUACACAGCUCUGAGGAGUCUGUGCCUCAUGGCUGCUUUCACACAAAGUGUGACUUGGGGAUUUUUAGCCCUCUUUUACAUCUGCAAACUUCUGAUGAGAGCUCAAGUUCAGCUUCUGCAGCAGGAUGAUGCAGACCAUUUUUUCUUCUUUGAAGCUCCCUCCAAAAAGCCAUAUUUAAACAAUGCCAUGCCAUGGGGUCCCACAGACAAAGUUGAAGGAGUUUACUAAAAACAGCUGACUGGAGGCUGAGGUGGUCAGCGAUGACAGGGAUGAGAUAUAUCUGCCCGUUCCCAGCAAGAACCUUCCAGAUAAAUAAAUUUGCCAGUGAAAACAUUGCCCUGAUUCCUUGGCACUGUGGGAUGUGCUGUAGGACUUCAAAACAAAACUGCCUCAAGGCAAAAUAGGAAAAGUGAACUUUUCCUAUGUCUUGGAAGGGCUGGCUGUUCAUAUAAUGGAAACGGGAAGUCUUCAAGCAGCAAAGGUGCAGCAGGAUCCAUGCUCAGGAUGGGGAAGCACAUAUUUCUCAUGGCUCUCCCUCAGAGAAUGCUGCCUGGAGCCACAACCCUUUUUCUACCCAGCUCUGUAGGUGCCUCUGCUUUGGGAUUUUUCACUAAGCGUUGCUAUAGGAACUUAAUUGCUUCUGUUCAUCCAGGUCUGAGCAGCUCCCUGCUCCCACUCCUCCUCUCCCAGGGCUGGCAGCGUCGGGGCUCUGAGGACAGCGGAGGAUGCUCAGGCUUUGCAAACUGCAGUUUUCUCUUGGGUACAUGCCCUUCUGAAGUAAGAAACUAAUUUAAUGAAUUAAAUUUAUUAAUUUACAGCCUUGGCACUAAAGCAGAGACUAAAGGUCAACAGCAUCUGCUGAUUUUGGAUGGUACAAGCCACGACUGCCCUGCUAUUUUUUGUUUUCCUGGGAACUUGGCAUUAUACUGAGCUUUACCACAUGGCAACACAGGUCCUCCUGUCUCUGGCUGCAGCUUUGCACACGCAGCUUUCCAUCAGCCCAAUCCCAGGUCAGGCUGGAGGACAGGAAUGUGACCUGGAGUCCCAGCCCUUCACUGCCCAGCUCUGGACAUGCUAUAACCUUGAUGCCUGACCUCGCACUGCGUGGCAGCACACAGCAAAUAACCAACGUGCUGAACAGGGCAGGGGGCCCAUUGGCAUCUCCUGCCCUCUUGACAUUCAUCCUGAAGUCGAUCCAGCUGGUGGAGGAGAUCCAGCUGGAAGAUGGGCAUGGAGGAGUUGGUUAAAGGUGAAGGUAGGGGUGCAAAUUUCAUGAGAGGGAGGGGCUGUCAGUCCAGCUGUGUGGGCUCCCUUAUGGCAGCAGGCGUGCAAUGCUGACCACAUUGUUUGGCACAAUGCUCUUGCACGCGUGCGUGUGUGCAAGACUUGACUGCAUUGGUGUGUAAGAAGUGGGAGCUCCUCACCUCCCACUACCUGCAGGCAGCUGGUAAGGCUCAGAAAUGCCUCUGUUGGUUCUGAGCCCCUGACAGCCAUCAUCUGUUGUCAGCAUGGAUCCUGCUGCUGACUCCCCAGUCCCCACAAGCCUGCUCCUUUCUCUGCUGGCCCAUCAUGUCUUUGUCUGAGGCUUGUUCCAUCCCUGCUGCUGACCUUCUAUGAUCCAAGUUGUGGGGAAGCCAUGUCACACACACCUAUCCCCCAAAGUGAGCUGAUGCUGAAGCACUGCCAGUCUCUGGGAGAAUUUUGGAUUGCAGCACAUAAGCUAAGGCACCAUGGCCACCAUCAACCUCCCUUUCAAACUGCAGGGUCUGCCUCACCCCUACCACACCACUCCCAGGGCUCUCCUGCCUCACUGGCUUCUCACCUGGGCACAUUUUAGGCUUUAGCUCUCCAUUCUGCCCUUUGUCCCUCCUAAACCUAAGUCCUGUGCCAAAUGACAAAAACUUAAUAAUGGUGAACAACAAACCGCAACAAAACAGGACACACACACACAAAACCAAAACAAAACAAAACAAAACUUUAAAUGAGCAAAUAACAAUGCAAACUUAUCUCCCACCACCUGGGAAAUGGCUCACUUAUUUUGGCUGAGGAAGGACUAAGGCGGAAGCUGAGCACUGACAGCUAACAGAGUGCUCUGGGUCUUGCCAAGGUGCCAGCAAUGGAAAGAAAAGGCUUUGAAAUUAGAACAGAUCAGACACCUUAAGACCAAGCAGUGCUACAACAUUUUCUAUACCGUUUGCCACCACUAACUUGACAUCAUCCAUAGCAACUGUACUCAACAGGAGCAUUCAUUGAACAUGUCCAGCUUUGAAGAUAACUGUCUUUGCAGAUCACGCUGUAACCCACCUGAGUGGACAUCUACAGAUUAACCCAGCCAGGGGAACUUUCCUUCCUCCCUCCCUCUCUCCCUCCCAUGCUUCUUCAUGGGUGGGCAAGGCAUUGUGAGACACCCUUGGCAAGCAAGGGAUGGAAAAACAGCCCCCACAGGACAGCCCAGAGUUCAGCACAGCUUGGCGUUGGCCUCUGAACUGCUGACUGCUCCAGCAGCAGUUAACCAGGACUGACAACAGUAACUGUUCCAUAGGAGACAUUCCACCAAUCCAAGGACAAUAACACAUGAAUACCAGAGGUUUACAAGAUGUUUUGGACACUAUUAACAGUGGUAUGUGCUAUUAGCUCAAUGGCAAGUACAGCCUCAUCAGGAAAAUUUGGCAACACAUCCUGGUCCCUCUCUUUCACAGGGUCAACACAAAAUAAGGCACAUACAUUGUGGGAAUAUAAACACUGCUGUCCAGGAGGACAAGCCAUGGAGGGACAGGCCUGGGUGAGCUGACCAGUCAUCCCACUGAGGAGGGGGGAAUCAGUGAUGGGAAGUCAGCAGCCAGCCAGCACCUUAAUGCACGUACCACGUGGGGCCAUUCCCCAAGGAGAGAAUAACAUCACCUGCCACGUGUGGAUGUGUGGGACCAUUUCACUCCCACGUGGAAGCCCAAUGACUUUACUGCAAACACACCUUUCCGUCACCUGCACGUGGCUGACAGAUAAACUCUUCACUGGCAACUUCCACUUUGUGAAAAGCGAAACUGUGUGGGGAAACACACACACUUCAGGCAGGCUGAGUGUUACUGGUGUGCCCAAGGCCGACAGAGAUGCAUAUGGAAGACCCUCACAGAGCCAUUACAAGAAAUGGUGAUUUAGACCUAUGCUGCAAUGCUCUAACAAUAGAGCAUUCAUGAUAUUUUGUGCAUUUUCCUGUACUCUUGGGUGAGCAGUGGGUUUCCAACAGCUAUGCAAAUAUCAACUGAUGUGCCACAUACACAAAAACAACUCUGUAACUGGAAGAGUAGAGGGGUGCUAGUAACUCAUCCCACCAGUGUAGAUGGGACUUUCCCCAGACUGCCACAUGUUGAGAAGGAGGCUGACAAGUGAAAGCUGGUGUCCAGUGUAACAGUGCCAUGUUCAGAGAGACCAGUCUACCUUAUCAAAACAGAACCAAAGUCUACCUUAUCAAAAAGACCCAAGAUAGCUGGGCUGUGAUGUAUUGCUACCCUCACAGGUACCAAAACCAGGCUCUUUAGUGUAAAACAGAAAAGCGUGAGAAAACACUAAAAGCUGAAGUGAUACAUGAACAGAAGUGGCACAUACACUUAAUGAUGAAAAUGAUAAAUCCUUUGCACAAACUCCCCAAGGACACAGUGGAGUCUCUGAUUCUUCAGCUUUGCCAAAUCAAAUGGGAUGCCUUUCUUGAGCAUGUGGUUUCUGCCAAGACACACUGUUGGCCCAAGACAAGGCUAAGUGAGUGACAAAGGUUUGUCAAAUCCAGGAAGGCAAACUGGCUACUCAAACAGUGCCUUUUAGCCUGGAGCAAUAUGAAUGGCUCCUUCUAAGCUCUGAUGGAUCACAUCUGUUAAUAGCUUCCCAGCAUCAAUUGCACCAGCAGAUACAAUUAUGAACUGGAAAAUUGAGUUUAAAAAAUAGUUGGGGAUGUUUGGGGUUUUUUUAAUGUAUUGGUUCCAUUACAAUAAAAGACUUCUCUCCCAAGCCACCUACUCCCAGGCUGGUCAUAAGUCUCCCUGUUGAAAUUGUUUAUAAACAUGUAAUUGAUAGCUCUAAUAAACAGCCAGGAUUGGUUACUGAGAGCUAUCUGAAACACAUCCAGCACAGCCUUCCCUCAUGCCUAUAGUGCUGCUUCUCUGCAGGGCUGUGGGCUGUAUCCCAGCACUGCAAUGCACAGCACAGCCCUUGGAACAUCCCUUGCCCUGCCCAGAGGGAUGCAUCCCUUCUUGUCCCAGCAGCACAGCAGCGACAAUGGCUGUGUACAGGCAGCAGGUCUCUGCAGGCCCUUUGGGCAGCAGGGAGCAGCUUCCUCCCACUGGCACAGCAAUGCAGUCACUGGCCAUGGUGAGCUGUGCCCAGCUGCCCGGCAGCCCAAGGAGCACGGCAGGCAGGCUGUGAUAGCUGGGCAGGGCAGGGAAGCUGGGAGGGGAAGUGUCAAAGGGAAGAGUGCAGGAUGAGUGAAUAUGUGUGCAUGGGACAGGGUAAGAAAGAAAUGCUGGCUAAACAUAACAAGAAAGACAGGAACUAGGUAAUGAUAAAAGGUGUAGGACAUUUACAUUUGUCUUGAUUUCUGACAUUCCAGCUCACAGUGCAAAUCUCUUGGUGCGUGCUGUGAUAAACUCAAACAUGGCCCUUGCACCAAAUUCCUAUGAUGUUUUCCUACUGAUUUAUACAUUCAUGCUCUGAUUCCAACAGCUGUUAACAGAUAAAUGUUAUCUGACAGCUUCACUGAGAUUCAAUUCCUCCACAUUUUCUCAAAUGCCAUGUCCUGAAUCAGCUGGUAUUUCACCUUUUCUUUUACAGUUGGUUUUCUAGCCUACAGAAGUCACCUUCUGAUUUUGACUGGGGUAAAGUUUGUCUGUAUUUCAAAACUGACUACACUCCCUCAUCUUGCUGUGUGUCUACUAUAACAUCAGCUCCUCAUAGACAUCAAACCCAUGACUGUAGGUGCCUGCACAAUCUACAUCCCAUAGUAGGACUUCGCUAUUGGGAUUUAACUGAGAAGUCUUCGAGGGUUGGAACUCCAUACAGCUUCUAGGAGUGGGUGAAUUUAAACCAUGAUUGUUCCCCACAGCAGGCUAUUCACUCAGGAGCACUGUGUACUCAUGGGUGCAGACAUGGAGCCCAGCAGAGCCAAAAACAAGCCAGUGCUCACAGAGAAAAUGCCAUUCACCUCUACCAGUGAGCAGCUUAAUGAUCACAGUGCACUGCUUUCAAUUUUUUGCCAGUGUGACUGACCCUGGGCAUUGACCCACUGGUUUGCUUGGAAAUUAACUGCACAUGGUGUCACCAAGAAAGAGAGAAAGAAGCUGGGUUGGUCUUUCAGAGCUUUGAUUAGUUGCCAGACAACUCAGUUGGUUAGAGCAUGGUGCUAAUAGCAUCAAAGUUGUGGGUUUGAUCCUCAUACAGGCCAUUCACUGAAGAGUUGGACCUGAUAAUAAUUCCAGAUCAGAAUAGUCUGUGAUCUGUGAAUACUUGCUGUUCCCCUUGUUUCUUUGCUAUUUUUAAUGGCAGUUUUAAUUUAAUUUUGUAAAGCCUGGACACAGUGGAAAAACAUUUAAGAUUAUCAGAUUGCUUGCAACUGCUUUGAUUUAUUUGGCUAGUCUGAGAACUGGGCCAGCCAUUCAUUUUCUACUUCUUUUACAUGACUUGCUCAUGAUGCUUUUGAAGCUCUAUGUAUCCAUGGAGCUGUCUGGGCUACAGGGGAAUUACACACAGUUCUUCCAGCAAAUAAGAACCAGUGGCUCAGCAAGUUACACCUCAACAAUUUGCAUUAAAAAAAAAAAAAA